AUUUCUUAUUGAUCAAUUUCAUUUCAGUUCAGCGUAGGAAGUUGGAAGAGCAAGAUUUUAAUAUGGUCAAGGCUUAUCUUCUGCAGAAACUUGACCGUGUUUAGAUUCAAGAAAGUGUGUUCCUUCAUAACAUCUAUCUAUGGUAGUAAUAUCAGUCAGUGAAGUAAUUAGAACUUGACUUGGUUACUUACUACUUGAGCCCCAGCCACUAACAAAAGAGAGUUGCAGGACGACAUAUAGUCCAGAGAUCCGAAUAGUUUGUCCUAUCUGUUGGUUUUGAAGUUUCUAGUUCCUUUCUUCGUGCUGUGUUACAAUAUUUGUGUUGUAUUGUUUUGCAUGUCAUGGUCUGAUCCGGCGGUCCAAAUAGCGAUAGGCUGGAUUAGUUAGUUCUCCAGUGACCAGUGAGUAGUGCAACAUAUGCAUUGGAAAUUCUGUUUUAGUGCUUUCGUGUUUCCAUGAUGAGAAUUCUUCUUUGAUAUCAGCAAUAUCUCCAUAACUCUGUUCGUGUUCCCGUUGGCCGCUGAGAUUGUAGACUAGUAUGUAUCCAUGGUACUUGAGUUCAUGGCUACAUGCACUUGUCUUUCAUGAUAUAGCUUCAAUAUGGUCCCUCGGGGACCAUAUUAACUUUAACUACGGAAAGUCUCUUACUAUAAUGUUGGGAAAAUGAACUUUGUUUGUCAUGCAUGUGACACCAAUAUACUUCUGGUCUGAGUAUCGGAUUCUUCUAAAGACAAUCUUGUUCUCGUACUACUGCUGGAAUGAUUAAAAUAUGUGGUCUUAAAAUUAAAUUUUCAUCUUCGUCCUACAUAAUUAUGUAUUGUUUUCAUAGGAUAUCCUGAUCAGGGCAGAUCCUCAUUGAUGCUUCACAUUGAAGCAGCCAUUGUUGAGAGCAACUCAUACAUGGAGCUCUCAGUACUAUGAAUUUUCUAAGUACAGAAACUUGUGAUAUAAUGUUUACUAGGACAGAAAAAUUCUAGCCCAAUGUGGUGUGUUAAACAUGACUAGAUAUGAAUGCGAUAAACCUACUUUCCACCUUUGGUGGUUGCGAUAAUGUGUCACCUUUGCCAUGUAGCUUGGUUUGGGGUAAGCAAUUUGAAUUAGCCGACUUCCCUUCGACAAACAAUGCACUGCGGAAGUAGUAGUAACUAGACCAUCUUUAAAAGAGAUAUUUGUUGAUGCAUACAGCAUGGUAUAUAUGAAGCUUUUUUGUAUAUUCCGUGCAUUUUAAUGUGUUCAUCUCUUUGAUUGCAUCGAGUUUCUCUCUCCGCAACUUGUGUGAUGGCAUACAAGGAAUACUAUUCUUGUUCAGGUGCUAGGCUGGGCCAUUUUGACUGGUAGCCUUCAUAUUUCGUUGAUGCUUUUGCUAUUUUCAAGUUGUACAAGUUGGCGCUGCAGCUGCUAGUGUGGGAUGAGAUCAAGGUCGUUAGCGACAUCUACUUCCUUGAGUAUGUACUUGGGCGAGAAAUAGAAUACCUAUGGAAUCAAAUUAGGAGAUACCCAGUACCUGGUUGGCAGAUGGUAGAUAUGGUGCUUCGAAAGUACUUGAAUGUUACUAACUCAUUGUCAAAUUUCUACUUGAAUGAUUUGGUACUAGUGUUGGGGAGAAGUGGACCUGGAGACUGAAGGAAGUCUUGCUCAUUGGUUGUGCUUGCAUGCGCCUGGAUGUGGGAGCAACAUAUUAUUUUGCCGGGUGCUGGGACCUGCCUAGGAUCUAGAGGCAGCCUUUCUUAAGAAUCGUAAGAAACCAUAAAUUUAAUAGAAAAUACAUAUUUUUAAAAAUAUAUGCUACUUCCAAAGUUUUCCUGCAUGACAUCUUGUUGUUCCUUACUGGACGAAGUAGUUGAAAACAAUUCUGCAUCUGUUGUCUUGUAGCUAUGAUAGUAAGAAAUUUGGGUUAGUCUUAAGCUUAUCACCAGUUAAGGUGGCCAAAAUAGUCACAGUACAAAACUCUAUGUUGUUCUUUUCUGUUGUGUUUUUUACUAAGCGAGAGAACUGAAUCUUGUCCUACUAGAGUCCUUCACCUCAAGACCACAGGCAGAGGUGUAGAAAGCUCCGUCUAUACUUAUUUUUAUCUGAAUGCACAUUGCAAUUUGUGUUUCGUAGCUAUAAUAUGGGUGGUACUUGUGCAUGAUUCACGAGGAAUAUUUAAGGGUACUAUCUUUCACUACCUUUUAAAAGGGGCAUUUAGAUUUUCAACUCUUUAGUAUCCAUUACUGUCUAAUGUAUAUAUUGUUAUUAUGCAAGAACACUUGCAGACCGUCAAGAAAUUGUUUGUCCGAAAAAAUUACUUAUUGACAGAAACUAGAGUGUGAUCCCAAAUUCGCAGGUGCAGAAUGGUAGCUGAUUUAGAUGACAAGUCUAGUUGUAAUUCUUUCUGGAGCAGUACUGAAACUGCCCAUGUUGCUGAUGGCUCCAGUAUACCUAUGAACGAGCAGAUAGAGGCAUAUGUAGGCAGCCCCUAGCUUUCCCUAGUCCAACUCUUCAACAUUAUCUUUCGCUAAGUAUUUAUUUAUUUAUGCAUCUCUGUCAGUCAUAACUUUCAUGUUCUGUUUUGACUUUGGGGGCUUGUUAUUUUAAUGGAUGGUAUAAUGUAUAUCCAUACUUUGCAGGAAGCAGGGUAGAAGUGUAGCUGGAGCUAGAUGAAUCCGUUGUGACUUUGUCAUGCGUUAUUGCCGCUGCUAGGUUGGUUGUGGCCUCCCUCGCCUCGCACGAGGUGGUAGGCCAUGGGCGCCCUUGGCCUCAAUUGCGUCCAUGACCUCCAGGGGUCCCGUUGUCGUAGAUGGCGGCAAGUUCACCGUGCCUCAGCCAUGGUCUUGUUCUAUGCUUUGGUGUUUUAGGUGAGCCCCGACAUGGAGCACUUGAAGGAGGUGGUCAGGCAAGUUGGAAAAGAUUCAGGAGCCCAAGAUAGCUGGUCUUGGACAAUAUGCUUGCCGCAUCACAUCCAGGUAAUUGGCGAGCUGAGCCUUCUUUGGCAUGUGGUAGCUGGAUAUGAUGUCGGAGUUGUCAGAUGUCAUGGCACUCGUGAAGGGGAGAAGUGGAGUCGGCUUGUAUGCAGCGACAGUGGAGGACGCAGAGGUGGCCAGGAGGAACCUUGGCUGCGGAAAGUAUAAUGCUUGUUUUAGACCGGAGAAUGGAAAGUGCUUUUGUGAUCUGGGCAGGUUGCCUGUGUUAAGUAGCUAAUAUAUACGUUGGCAUAAUCUAGCUUGGUUAGUGCUUGGGUCAGUUUUUUUCCGUGGCUGCUAGCAAGUCUGGCCGUAUAAUUGCAAUGUAACUUCCUCAGGUU